rnacentral:rRNA from 1 species
CAUUAUUGAAAUAAACCUGAUGGGUUGCUGCUGGCUCUCUMGGGAGCAUGUGCACACUUGUCAUCUUUAUAUCUCCACCUGUGCACCUUUUGUAGAUCUGGAUAUCUUUCUGAAUGCCUGGCAUUCAGGUUUGAGGAUUGACUUUUGUCUUUCCUUACAUUUCCAGGCCUAUGUUUUCUUCAUAUACACCAUUUAUGUUAUAGAAUGUAAUGAAAAGGGCCUUUGUGCCUACAAACCUUAUACAACUUUCAGCAACGGAUCUCUUGGCUCUCGCAUCGAUGAAGAACGCAGCGAAAUGCGAUAAGUAAUGUGAAUUGCAGAAUUCAGUGAAUCAUCGAAUCUUUGAACGCACCUUGCGCUCCUUGGUAUUCCGAGGAGCAUGCCUGUUUGAGUGUCAUUAAUAUAUCAACCUCCUCAGGUUUUGACUUGUCGAGUGUUUGGAUGUGGGGGUCUUUUGCUGGUCUCUUUUGAGGUCGGCUCCCCUAAAAUGCAUUAGCGGAACAAUUUGUUGACCCGUUCAUUGGUGUGAUAACUAUCUACGCUUUUGACGUGAAACAGGUUCAGCUUCUAACAGUCCAUUG